rnacentral:rRNA from 1 species
CAGCCGCCACGGUAAUACAGAGGGUGCGAGCGUUAAUCGGAUUUACUGGGCGUAAAGCGUGCGUAGGAGGCUUUUUAAGUCGGAUGUGAAAUCCCUGAGCUUAACUUAGGAAUUGCAUUCGAUACUGGGAAGCUAGAGUAUGGGAGAGGAUGGUAGAAUUCCAGGUGUAGCGGUGAAAUGCGUAGAGAUCUGGAGGAAUACCGAUGGCGAAGGCGGCCCCCUGGACAAAGACUGACGCUCAGGUGCGAAAGCGUGGGGAGCAAACAGGAUUAGAUACCCCCGUAGUCCCUGUCUCUUAUAC